rnacentral:snRNA from 1 species
AGCAUUGUGCUGUGGCAGUAUAAUAGCUCAUGAGGUUUACCUGAAGCAUGAUCAUUGCUAAUUGUAAACUUUUCCCAAUACCCCACCCUGAUGACUUACGAUAUAGUCAGCAUUGGCAAUUUUUGACAGUCUCUACAGAGA